CCUACGGGAGGCAGCAGUGAGGAAUAUUGGUCAAUGGGCGCGAGCCUGAACCAGCCAAGUAGCGUGAAGGAUGACUGCCCUACGGGUUGUAAACUUCUUUUAUAAAGGAAUAAAGUGUGGCACGAGUGCCUUUUUGAAUGUCCUUUAUGAAUAAGGAUCGGCUAACUCCGUGCCAGCAGCCGCGGUAAUACGGAGGAUCCGAGCGUUAUCCGGAUUUAUUGGGUUUAAAGGGAGCGUAGAUGGGUUGUUAAGUCAGUUGUGAAAGUUUGCGGCUCAACCGUAAAAUUGCAAUUGAUACUGGCAUCCUUGAGUACAGUUGAGGUAGGCGGAAUUCGUGGUGUAGCGGUGAAAUGCUUAGAUAUCACGAAGAACUCCGAUUGCGAAGGCAGCAUACUAAACUGCCACUGACAUUGAUGCUCGAAAGUGUGGGUAUCAAACAGGAUUAGAUACCCUAGUAGUA
rnacentral:rRNA from 1 species